rnacentral:rRNA from 1 species
UACGAGAGGCCCAAACGUUAUUCGGAAUCACUGGGCUUAAAGAGUUCGUAGGCGGCGCGGAAAGUGGGGUGUGAAAGCCCUCGGCUCAACCGAGGAAUUGCGCUCCAAACUGCCGUGCUUGAGGAGGCUAGAGGUAAGCAGAACUGAUGGUGGAGCGGUGAAAUGCGUUGAUAUCAUCAGGAAUACCAGAGGCGAAGGCGGCUCCCUGGACAAUAGCUGACACUCAGGCACGAAAGCGUGGGGAGCAAAAGGG